UAAUCGCCUGUUCGCAGGUUAACUAAACACAACAUUGCAUUUCUUACCAGUAUGUUGUUUCUUUGAAUAUCGCCUAGUUUUUAUACUAUCCUGUCUCGUAAAUCUGCUGGAAAACGCAAAAAGAAUGAAGAUGAACACCUAGACUCGAUAAUUGAUGAGAUUAACACCAUUACAGGUGCAGAGUCUUCUAAAAGUAGAAAGACUCGACCUAACCACUCAAGUAAAAAUAAAGAUAUUGACAUCGUACUGAGAAGAGACGAAUCUGGCCAGCGAAUAUAUCACAACCCAAGACGAUUGUCGCAGUCUAGCUGGGCAAGACGAGGCAGCAAUAUCACUGCAACUACUGCAAACAAGGAAGGAUUUGUCGAGACAGACUCUGUGAACGAAAGCAAUCCAGAGUCAGUGGGGUUAGGGUGAAUUUUCUGGCCCCGGAAAAUAUCAAAUGAUCAGCUUCUGAAGCAAACCGAACAGGAGGAUAUUUGUACCCUUAUCACCAGGAGAAGAUGGAGAUAUUUCAGGCAUGUGCUGUGAAAGAGCAAUAACAACAUAGCCAGA